GACGAACGCUGGCGGCGUGCUUAACACAUGCAAGUCGAACGGAAAGGCCCUGCUUGCCGGGUACUCGAGUGGCGAACGGGUGAGUAACACGUGGGUGAUCUGCCCUGCACUUCGGGAUAAGCCUGGGAAACUGGGUCUAAUACCGGAUAGGAGCCAUUUUUAGUGUGAUGGUUGGAAAGUUUUUUCGGUGUAGGAUGAGCUCGCGGCCUAUCAGCUUGUUGGUGGGGUAAUGGCCUACCAAGGCGGCGACGGGUAGCCGGCCUGAGAGGGUGGACGGCCACAUUGGGACUGAGAUACGGCCCAGACUCCUACGGGAGGUAGCAGUGGGGAAUAUUGCACAAUGGGCGCAAGCCUGAUGCAGCGACGCCGCGUGGGGGAUGACGGCCUUCGGGUUGUAAACUCCUUUCGCUAGGGACGAAGCUUUUUGUGACGGUACCUAGAUAAGAAGCACCGGCUAACUACGUG
rnacentral:rRNA from 1 species